rnacentral:rRNA from 1 species
GACGAACGCUGGCGGCGUGCUUAACACAUGCAAGUCGAACGGAAAGGCCCUGCUUGCAGGGUACUCGAGUGGCGAACGGGUGAGUAACACGUGGGUGAUCUGCCCUGCACUUCGGGAUAAGCUUGGGAAACUGGGUCUAAUACCGGAUAGGAACCAUCUUUAGUGUGGUGGUUGGAAAGUUUUUUCGGUGUAGGAUGAGCUCGCGGCCUAUCAGCCUGUUGGUGGGGUAAUGGCCUACCAAGGCGGCGACGGGUAGCCGGCCUGAGAGGGUGUACGGCCACAUUGGGACUGAGAUACGGCCCAGACUCCUACGGGAGGCAGCAGUGGGGAAUAUUGCACAAUGGGCGCAAGCCUGAUGCAGCGACGCCGCGUGGGGGAUGAAGGCCUUCGGGUUGUAAACUCCUUUCGCUAGGGACGAAGCUUUUUGUGACGGUACCUAGAUAAGAAGCACCGGCUAACUACGUG